rnacentral:misc_RNA from 1 species
UCAAUGUCUUUAUUUGAUGUAUUUGCACUAGUGAGUUGCAUUUCAUAAUUUGUAUUCAAAUCCUUGAAUAUCUAUUCACUUAAAAGCAUUUUGAAACUUUUACCCAAAAAAAAAAGUUGUAUAGCAACAGUUUUACAAUGACUUCAAUUUAAUCUAGGGGUUCUAUCAACCUAUAGAUGCUGCAUUAUCUAUUGAUCUGCGAUUAAAGAAGCUGGACAAAUGGAAUUGAGGAUCCCCUAUAGCCAAACAAUAACAUUGCAGCGUUUUGUAGCUGUAUUUUUCAGUUGUCCUCUUCAUUAUCUUAACUUAAAGAAGUGGUCACUGCAUCGAGACAUUAUAUAAUGGAUUAAAUGUAUGUUUGUUGAAGUCAUGUAUGUUUUGAAGAUGGGCUUUGAUGGGUCCUUUUUCCUGCAAGUUUCUUUGAACCACAUGUUUCCAAUAAAAUUUUCCUCUCUGCAGAGAAUAUCAUAGUUGUCAGAACAUAAAUAGUGAUCAAUGCAGCUUCUUUGAAAUGCUGUAUUCUGAUUUAAUAUUAUAUUUGAUCAAUUUAGAUUUUGUAAACAUUUCAUUACAUGCCCAUAUUCACUGGAAAUCCAGUUUUACAUGUCAAUUGGUGAUAUGCUACCACACUAAUUCUUUGCUGAGCAAAAUGUGGGGGAAUUAAUGUGUCAAGGUUUAUGCUUACUCAUGUAAUUUGGCUGGUGGUAUACAAUUCAGCUAAUCCUCAUUUUUAUAUAUGAGAAACUGAAAUUUAAAAAAAAAAAAAACUGUAAACUAGUUUUAAAUUUUGUUUCGUAGAAAUUAUUGGGAAUAUGACGUAUAGUGAUUUCGCUAAAUCUUCCUCUAGAGGUGAAGGUUGAAUUGCUGACUGACGUGUGAGAUGGCUUAGAGGGAUUUAUCCUACAACUCUCUUUCAGGCAAUCUGCCACAGAGCUUUGCAUCACUUUAAAUCCUUAACACAUUGUAAGAAGCUCUAAAAGGAUAUCAAUUUCCAUCUUCUGAGUUUCUUAUUAUGACAACUAUGCAUACUUACAGGCAUUUGCAAAACAAUCAAUUCACUGGUUCAAUAAAUGUCCUUGCAAGUCGUCCUCUUAAUAAAUUGUAAGUAGACCAAUGGCAUAAAUUCAAUUAAAUAUUCUCAAUUGUUUCUAGUUCAACUAACAAUUCAGUGCCUACUUUUCAUUUUUCAGUUCUUUAUUGUCUGAGUAGGUUUAUCCCUUUCAUUGAAAAAGUAUUCUUAAAAACAGAUAACAGAUAACGCAUUUUGUUUUUGUGGUGCCAUACUUGAGUAAAAUCACAAGGCAUCUUUCUUGGGUCCAUGGGGUGGAAAAACUUGGGAAGUCUUAAAAAUGAUGAAGUUCUAUUCAAUCUAUUGGUCAAAUGAAACCAAAAAAGGUUAAAAACCGAAUCCAAUGUUAUGCUCGCAGGAAUGUUGAAAACAACAAGUUCACUGGCUGGGUUCUUGAUGAGUUGGAGAACAUUGACAACAUAAAGUAAGUGGCUAUAAAGCUGUAUUUGCUUGAAGAUAAAGUUCUUUGGAAGUUGCUUCUCUGACUAUGUCAUUAUAGUUUUUGAAGAACUGGAGGAAAUUCUUGGUCAUCAGGGCCAGCUCCUUCUCCGCCACCUGGCGCAAAACCUAUUUCUGCAAAACAUAAGGAAUGUGAGAUUGGGGGACAUGGGAACAAUGGCAUGAGUGGGCUAGCAAUAGCUCUAAUAGUUUUGGCUUCAUUGGUGGUAGUUGCACUUCUGAUUACUCUAUUAUCAACUAGAAACUCUUCUCCGUCUUCAUAUUUUCUUGAUGUAGAGAGGGCUAGCCAGCAUAGAGCGUUUACUCCCCUUGCAUGACAGGAAUUAUCCAGUGAUUUCCAUACUGCCAAGCACAAGGAAUUCAAAGAAACCAAGUCAUUUAAUUCAAUUGAUAUAAAGACCCAGCAAAAAUCUCCAUCCAUUGGUUACAAGCCUCCAAAUUCAAAUUUUGCACAAUCUUUAAAUGACAAUGAGUUUGCGAGCUGUUUGAAUGCCAGAAGAAGCACCUCCAUUCAUGUUGUACCAUAUUCUUUGGCAGACUUGCAGACAGCUACUGGUAAUUUUGCAAUAGGCCGUCUUCUUGGUAAGGGAUCCCUUGGUCAUGUUUAUAGGGCCAAAUAUACUGAUGGAAAGGUAAAUUUUAUCUAUUUAUUACAUUUGACUACCCAGAUAAUUCUCUGGGCUUAUUACUGGACUUAACUGAAUGAAGAUGGAAUUUGUGACGAGAAUGGAAUUUGGAUUCUUCUAACAAUUUAAUCUGCUCCCACUAUCAGGUUUUGGCUAUAAAAAAGAUUGAUUCAUCACUUUUUCAAGGUGGGCGACCAGAAGAAUUUUCAGAAAUUAUUUCAAGCAUCUCAAAAGUUCACCAUCCAAACAUUGCUGAACUGGUUGGUUAUUGUUCAGAAAUCAGAACAAGGGCACAACAUGUUAAUAUGUGAGUAUUUCAGGAAUGGCUCACUUCAUGACUUCCUACACACGUCAGAUGACUUCAUCAAGCCACUAACUUGGAACACUAGAGUCAGAAUUGCUCUGGGAACGGCCCGGGCUGUUGA